GUAACUGAUUGCUAUUCUGUGUGAUGUGCUGGCUGCUUAUUUUUUUAUUUUUGAGUUUCCUGUUUCUUGUUCAUUGAGCUACCUAAAAUACAUAAGAAAUAUAUGUUGCUAUUCAACCUUUUUAAGUUUUCUAUUAAGACUUCAUGGUUGCAAAGAACAUCCUGAAAACAAAACAACUGUAAAGGAUGCAGUGUUGUCUUACUGAGUCUGCAGACAAUCUGAAGCACUACAUUCUGAGAGAAAACUGCUCCAGUCACCUCAACAGGUUAAGUCAGAAGCCUAAGCAAGACAAGGCUGUUUUUUGUGAAUUGCUGAUGAAAACCACUCUGACCAAAGACUUUUUCAUGGAUCUCUGCCAUUUAAGACUUUAAGAGCUCCUUCUCCCCACUACUAUGUUUAAACAGAAAACAUUCAUACUCAUCAACUGAUUCUGUCCAUCUCUACAAACUACCACAGACAGCAACGAACAAAAAAGAAGACUCUAGAGGAAACCAACUUAAAUAGAACCUCCCCAACACUUCAGCAUUGAUUGGUGAGAGAAAGUUAACAGACAGGGAGGCAGUGUGGGGAUUGGAGCCCCGAGCCCCACAACCCCAGAGGGGCUGGAGCCCAGAGUCCUGUGUCCCAAGUCGUGUGGAAGGCUGGAGCCCUGAGGGGGGCUGAAGUCUGGAGCACCGGAGGUGGCAGAGGAGCUGAAGGAUUGAGUCCUGCAGAGGGCUGAAGGCUGCAGCCCCAUGCCCCAAUGGGGGCUGAAGGUUGGAGCCCCAUAGGGCUGAAAGUAGGGGAUCACAUUUUUUCUACCAUGUUCUUCAGAUUGGAGCUAGAUUAGCCUGGAAAGCCAGACUGAAACUGAACAUGGAGGGAAAUUGAAAUAAGAGAAUAAUCGUUGGUAUCCAGAGAACGAAGGCCCAUCUAGCAGGCUUCUACAUAUAACCAUGGAAAAAACAAUGUACCAUUUCCAAAAUUCACAAUCAAAAUGUGCAAUUUUAGAGGAGAACAAAAACAUAGUCACAAAGGGGCAUUAAGUAUUUUAUUGAUUAUUUGAAGGUGGGAAGCCAGAUUCCACUAUGCUUAUGUGUAUGUUGUAAAAUUGAUAGUAGAUUGUAAGGAUACCAAAGAAAAUGUAAAUAUGCCAAAAUGUGCUGUUUCUCUUCUAAGAGAUACUUAACUCUGAAGGACCUGAAGCCAUUCAUUACACCAUCAAAUGCAGUCAGAGUUAGAAAUUAAUUACAGCAUGACAUAUUGAUGGAAACAAAGCUAAAAUUAUCCUGUCAGCAACAAUAGGGCAGCUGAAUAUGGUCAGUGAAGGUUACCCCAUGAUAGAGCUGAUGGUAACUAUUCUAAAAACAUUUAUCCUGCUAGACUGAGGGAACAAGAUGGAAGAUGGGGGGAAAAACAGGGGAUAGGAAUUUUUAGGGAAAAAUGGCAGGAAAGAACUAAAGAUAUAAUUUGUUUGGCACUCCCCUUCUAUGAAAUUCUAGACAUAUUCCCUGUAUUCUCUUUAAACAAAGAAAUUUUGUUAAUUUGUUUGGUGUUUGCAAUCAGUCUAUUAUACAGCAUGACAUUCCCUACUCAGAACACUGAAAAUGUAUUUACAUGCUGCACUGAAAUUUUCCAGAAUCACCAUGCCGGUCCAUUGCAUCAACCGGUGAUAUGCAUGUAACAUCAGCUUUAAAAUAUAUAAUAAAAAAACCCUGCAACUACUUUACUUAACUAAACUGAAGGAUAAAUGCAGUAGGUAUCCCCAAGUGACGAGGCUAAUGAACAUAUACUAACUAAUGAACUUGUUUUCUAAAGUCAUGUAUGAAAUGUUAUGUAUAUCAGCUAUCCUAGCAAGUUGAGUCAUGGAUGACCUAAUUUAUUUGCAGAGCACUUUUAGUGUCAAAUUUAAUGAUUUCAACUGAUUUAAUACAAUAGAUAAUGCAAGCUGUCAACCUUAUAUGCUGGUUGCUUUCUUAAGGUCAGCUCAUUAGCAUAGAUAAUUAGCCUGGCUCAGCCAAUUAGUUUCUAAAUAUUACCAUAAUUGCUAUUUCUCUCUCUGUCUCCCCUCUUCCAUCAUCCUAUUUUUAGAUAGCAAAGCUCCUCCCCCAAUGCCAUUUUGGGUAGAGCUCCUUCCUCUGACAUCAUAUUUAGCCUUAGCUCCUCCCCUGGAGGUCUUGGGAGAAAUGUUGAGUCAUUCCCUAUUAAUUGACAGAAUUUUCCAUACCCUAACCCAAUGUCUUUCAUAAAGGAUUAUUGAGUCCACCAUUUUGGAUUUCUAACUCUAACCUAUAACUAAUUACUAUUUAUCUAAAGCCUUAAUCUUAAAACUAACUGCUGUUUUAUGCAAGUCAAAGUGUCCUGAUACUGUCACUACCUUAAUUAUAUCAGUUGGGAGAAGUGAAAUUUUUACUAUAUUUAAACCCCCUUUUCAGUUUCUCUUCAAGGCAUUGCAAAGUCUUUCAGAGCAUCUAAAAGCAAAAUCCUUCAUUACAAUCCCUUCCUUGCUGGGUUGUAAACUUGUUUACAAAUCAAGCAUUUCAUAAUUUGGUGAGUCCAAGGAGUGUGGGGUCUUGUCCCGUGCUGGCUCAAGGCUUUUCCCUUCAGGACACUGAGCCCACAUUUCUCCAUACUGGCACAAUUCCUCACUACUCUUGAUUCUCACCUUGGUCACACCUGCCUGUGUGCCAUAGUAAUUUCUUUUAAGACUGAGGGACUGCAUAUGCUUUAGCUGCCUGAAUUUUUGUUUGAUCCAGCACACCAAAAUAAUAAGCAUAAUUGCUAUCAUAAUUUGAGAUGCCAAGAUUAUUAUAGGAUAUAAAAUUACUUUCAAGAAUCCUGUACCUGUGGGAGACCUUCUCAAAAAUACUUCCCACUGGUUGUGUUUAGUAUCACUUUUGCUUUUCGUAAUUGUUUUUGCAAUCAGAACGAUUUAUUAAUUGCUUAACUAAACUUAUAUUUAAUCCUAAAACUAUCAGGUCAGUUCUCCUAUAUAUCUGGUAUUGGUCUUUAAUUUCCUCAUUCUCAAUUUCAAGUAGUGUGAACUUUGAAAUCGCAACCAAAUACUGAGGUAAUGUUACACAAGCAUUUGUUCUCAGAGGGGUUCUGAGUUACAUUGUAUAUAUGAUUUACUUGAAACAAUGUACACCAGCUUCUGAUACAUACACGUUUUCUUCCAAUGUUAUGCAAGUGAUCCAUUGAACAGAAAAGAAUCUAGCUGAUAAUGACAUUUUCCUCCUUCUUUAUUUAAACAUACAUCAUAAGGUUGGAUUGCAUUAUUACAAACAUAUUCAAUUCCACGUUCCGCCAUACAAGCCUCAAGUUCCCCAAUUUUCCAUGUCUUACUUUUCUUAUCGCUCAGAAUUUGUGUUCUAUUGACUGUGUUACAUUGGUGUUAACAUUUAACCCAAGUGCUUUGAUAGGAGAUAGCCAUUCAGUUCAGGCAUUAGAUAUCAUAAUUAUAUAUGUAGUAACUUGGUUUAAUUGAGGAUUGUAUGUGAAGUUUACCAUCUUCCACCAUGAACAUUACCUUUGUUCAUCCUUAGUGGCAUGUUUCCACAUUAUACUUCUUAUUUCUAAGGGUAAAAUUCCACUCAUUCCAUCUCGUAUAAUAUGUUCUACCACAUCAUUGCUCCAAGUCUGUGAUUGUAUACAUGCCAAUGCCAGAGAUACAUUACUUUGUAAAAGGGCUGUUCUUAGAAUUUAUGGGGCCCUAUGCAGUAUUUAUAAACUGGUGCCCCUAUGCCUGAUGGCAGCCUGGGCUCGUAUGUGUAUUUUAGAUAAGGGUGGUCUUUUGAAGGAUUUAUUUAAAAAAACUAUGUGUCUGAAGAUCCAAGCAGUUAAGGCUAAAGAUGAAUACUCAGAUUAUGCAUCUAAAACUCUAAGCAAGGAUUUUUUAGAGAUGUGAUUUUAUAAUCUUUAGCAACACACUAAAGAAAUAUUUUAAAGCAAAUUUUAAACUAAGGUCCUGUAGACUAACAUGUAAAUAGUAUAGUAAUGCACAACUGUUUCUGUCAGUAAAUUCAGAAACUGACAGUAUAUAUACCUGGGGCUUGGCAAAUGCCUGUUAAAUGGCUUCAUUACCACUUGGAUGGCUCUUUAACAGUUUCAAUGUUGUGCUAAUAGGUCUGGGAGGCUUUUUCACUUUUAAGUACUAGAUCCCCUCUGGAGGAAGCCUCACCAGGCUGCAGCAGCCAGACUGUGGAGGGAGCCUGCUGGAAGGGUCAGACCCAGGAAGACCCCAAACUUUAGGGUGCCCUACACAGCCGCGUAUGCUGCAUAUGGCUAAAGACGGCCCUGCUUUGUAACACCUCCACUGUGUUUAAGAUGGCUAAAUGAUCUGCUCUUUUGCAACUUUUCCCAGCCAGGGAGUAAAGCAGCUAUAAGGUAAUGGCUAGUAUUUAUAUCAUUUAAAGAUGUUGUCAAAGGUUUAGACACAGCUCCCAAAUGUUGUCCCACUGCCUUUAACUUAUUAGUCAAUACUUGUUCAUCUAUACUAUUUAAUAUUCCAAGCCCUGUACCUGUUCCUCCUAAGAGUGUAUCCAUCAAACUUUUUUUCUUUCUAUUAGCAGGAGCUUUCAAUAAAAGUUGGAUUUCCAUCUUUCAAAUAAAAGUCCAGUAUAUUUA